rnacentral:rRNA from 1 species
UACGAAGGGUGCAAGCGUUACUCGGAAUUACUGGGCGUAAAGCGUGCGUAGGUGGUUCGUUAAGUCUGAUGUGAAAGCCCUGGGCUCAACCUGGGAAUGGCAUUGGAAACUGGCGACCUAGAGUGCGGUAGAGGGUAGUGGAAUUCCCGGUGUAGCAGUGAAAUGCGUAGAGAUCGGGAGGAACAUCCGUGGCGAAGGCGACUACCUGGACCAGCACUGACACUCAUGCACGAAAGCGUGGGGAGCAAACAGG